GCGCUUCGUGAGAUGGACUCCGUGACAGUUACGGACUUAAACUUUCUCCCCACUGUCUGGUGCCUUUCUUCAUGUCCAACAUUAGCCGGAGGAGCUAUCUAAAAUCCAACUAUAACAAACUAAACUCCUGGAAGUCUGAAAACCUUUUAACCUGAAAAAUAAAAAUCAAGUUUUGGCCUUAACAUAAGCUAGGCUCAGGACAGCACAGACCACGGACAUGGACAUAGGUGCCAGCUGUGAGAGCUCCAGAAGUCCUCUUGUUUUGGCUUGAAGAGAAAGAAAAAGGCCUCCCAACACUCAGAGAGAAUGGUGAGAAAUCGCUGCUUUUUUUCCCCUUUGGGCUCAGUCCCAGCCCUAAUGGGCUGUAGCUGAGGCAGCUGCAAUGACAGUCCAUAGGGAACAGCAGGAGGCUGAAACCCUGAGAGAACUUCUUCUCUGGUUGAAAGAGCUGUGGUCCCAAACGGAUAGGACAAACCCUGCCAAGGUCACCUAGCUUAAGGUUACCUAUCUGACACCUGAUCCCCACAACCUAACUGCUACUCCUCCAAACUACCCUCUUGUUUCCAUAAGACUUUUGAAGCUCAAAAUUGACAAAGGUGAUAGAAGAAGACCUGCUUGUUGAAUGACUUUUGUGACAGAGACUAGCUGUUCACCAAAAUCUCUUCCCUUCCUCCUGGGCACCCAACAAGAUGCGUUUCCCAGCCUCCUCUGUAGUUAGGUGUGGCCGUGGACUGUACCCAGAUGUGAUGUGUGCCACUUCCUAGCCCGGUGUAUAAAAACCUCCCACAACUGUUCCUUCAUACUCUUUCAUUUUGCUGAUGAAAAGUGGGAUGGUGAUACCCAAGUAUCCUCGAAAGCCACAUGUUGAAGAUGUCAAGGCUGACACCAGCCCAGGUUCUUGGAAAGGUGUAUGGAACUGAGCACCCCCUGGUGGUCUGGAACCCACUUUGAACUUCCUCUGUGUUGAGUUACUGUAUUUUAAAACUUUGGUUUCAGCAUUUUAGGCAACCUAAAAAAUAUUUUAAUACUGCUCCAUAGGAAUACAUUAUUUUGUAUUUGAUGUUUUUAGUGAUCCUAUUUCUUGGAAGUCUGUUGGUGAAUUCAAUUUAGUAAUCAAAUCUAGGUUAUUCAAAUUUUCUAUCAGACCCAGAAAAUUUGAGUAGAUCUUAUUUACCCACAAAAUGCUUCUACCCAGGUAAAAAUCUUGCAGCUAGAAAAGGCCAUUCUGGAGAACUCACCCUGACCACCCUGUUUCUAAGUGUCUAAUUUUUUAUGUCACAUACAGAAUGAGUGUUACUCCAUAACACUACUCCAUCUUAAAGUUCUGUUUAAUUAAGUUACAUAGAUUGAAUUCAACUGGAAAUAUUUUGGUGCAUUGAAAAAAAAAAAUUCUGGGCCUUGGCUGGGCUUUGGUUAGAGCAUAGUCUCAAUAUGCCAAGGCUGUGGG